rnacentral:RNase_P_RNA from 1 species
GAAAAGCGACUGUCGCGGGCGUAUUUUACGCGUGAGGAAAGUCGGGACAGCACAGAGCGACAUACUUCCUAACGGGAAGCCUUUGGAGACAAAGGAAGAAAGUGCCACAGAAAAUUACCGCCCGAAAGGGUAAGGGUGAAAACGCGAGGCAAGAGCUCACGCAUCUCCGUGGUGACACGGACCUGGGGUAAACCUUAUGGGCUGCAAAACCAAAUAUACCGAUGAUGGCCUUCGGGCUGAAAGGGCUGCUCGUCCGAGUCGGGUGGGUGGGUUGCUAAAGCCUUCCGGUGACGGCUGGCUUAGAGAAAUGACAGUCACUCAGAAAUGAGAACAGAAUCCCGCUUACGCUUUUCUUUC